AUAUCAUCAUGAAUGGUGGUCAAAUACUGAGAGGAGGAGGAGUGAAUCCCAUAGAGCCUCGAGCACAAGAAAAAAGCGACAUUGCUUUAAUCACGAGAACAAAUGAGGCCCUUAGAUGCAUAAGAUACCAAACGCCAUUUUACCCAAAAUGUUGUUAAGUAUAUCACUGUCUUCCUCAAACAUCCCUCUAUCUCGAUAGUGAGUCCGAUGUACAAAAUGCAUAUCACAAUAGGGUCGAAAUUCCCGAAGAGUGUAGGUAACUUUUUUCCUUAAUGCGCUCUCGCCUGCUACUGCACGUUGACAUUGGCUGCAGAAGGUACAGGUAACUCUCGAUUUACGCGAGUAUUGCGUUCUUGGAGAGGUCGCGUAAAUCAAAAACAAUGUAAAUCAAACAAGAGGUAGGUUUCUGUCGAAAAAUAAAUACCGUAUUUUUCAGCGUAUAGCGCACACCUUUUUCUCAAAAAAAUGCCUGAAAGUUUAGCCCUGCGCCUUGUACGCCGAAUGUACAAAUUUUUAAUAAUUUUUUUCUUUUUUGGGGUGUUUUUAGUGGUCUGUUUUUUGUCUUAUCCAAUAACAACGGCAAACUUUCCUUUAUCAUUGUAUAUAAUCCUUCAUAGUCCGUAGCUGUCUUAUAAUAUGUUACCAUAGAAUACAGGGCGAUCUAAUAACUACUAUACAAAAUUGAAAUCGAUGGAGGAUUCCCCAUGCCUUGCUGUUAUCCCGUUUUUCCGUCGGGCGCCAUUUGUAUGAUCUUGAUCUUGAUGUCACAGGUGGCUUAAGAUUGUAUGACUACGGAGCAGUACAAGCUACAUAAAAAAUCAUAUUGGAAAAAAAUACCCAUGUGUUCAUUAUUAAUUAUUAAUAUUAGUGAGAAUAAUGGGGUAAAUAUGAUAUCAGAAACUGUACAUCAUGAGUCUUGUACGAGGAGAUAUUUCGCGCAAUACCAGCCAGGCCGCCAUUUGCAUUGUUUACAAACCACACAACCACACCCAUACAACAAACAGCUGCAUGGCGCGUGUCACCAGAAACGUGUGAAUUGUGUCUUGCCUAGUUCUCUGUCAUAACCUACGAGUGAUGGUGGGAAUAAUAUGCUUAUUCACUUCAUUCAAGAGAGAGAGAGAGAGAGAGAGAGAGAGAGAGAGAGAAUAUCCAUAUCACCGAGAUAUCCACUCAGGCACUCAGUCUCAGCCUCACUCGUGUGAGGAAGAAAUGAGGGACACCAUGAGUGGCUAGCUAGUAUUGGUACCGGUACCGAGCAGUCUGGUACCGGUACUGUACCAUAUAGCUAGUACCGUUAGUACCGGUAACUGCCCACCCCUAUUGUUGAGUAGCGUGGCAGCGUGGGUACUGUAUUGUUGUUCAAGUGGCGCGCGGGAAGAACUGAGCUCUGCUGUGUGGCCGCGGCGCUAUGUGAGUCCAGUUGCGUGAGACAUCUGGUGGCCACUCCAUAAAAUAUCGCGUAUAAGUGGAAAAAACGUGUAAAUAAA